AUCACUCGGCUCGUGGAUCGAUGAAGAACGCAGCUAAUUGCGCGUCAACAUGUGAACUGCAGGAUACAUGAACAUUGACAUUUCGAACGCACAUUGCGGUCCUCGGAUACUGUUCCCGGACCACUCCUGGCUGAGGGUCGUAUGUUAUUACCAGACUGCUACUUGCUUUCGGGCUCGUAAGCGAACGAUGGGGUUUCGCGUAACAGCGUGUCCUUAAAUUAUCACUCAACGCAUGUGAGCCAGUCCUGUCUGCAAACGACGUAUACCGUCUCUGUGAGCGGUGUGUGGAAUUACGGCGGGUUGUGUGUCUUAGAUUAAUUUCUCUGACCCGCCCGAUACCGGAAACCCGCAUUCAGUGCGAGCGCGUUUCGUCAGUGGACACGGGCGAUCUAAAGGUUCCUUGCAAACAUUGCAUUACUUGACAUCUCGUUUUGUAACGCUAAUCAAAAACACGACCUCAGAGCAGGUGAGACUACCCCCUAAAUUUAAGCAU
rnacentral:rRNA from 1 species